rnacentral:rRNA from 1 species
UACGGAGGGGGCUAGCGUUGUUCGGAAUUACUGGGCGUAAAGCGCACGUAGGCGGCUUUGCAAGUUAGAGGUGAAAGCCCGGAGCUCAACUCCGGAAUUGCCUUUAAAACUGCAUCGCUAGAAUUGUGGAGAGGUAAGUGGAAUUCCGAGUGUAGAGGUGAAAUUCGUAGAUAUUCGGAAGAACACCAGUGGCGAAGGCGACUUACUGGACACAUAUUGACGCUGAGGUGCGAAAGCGUGGGGAGCAAACAGG